ensembl:misc_RNA Metazoa_SRP Metazoan signal recognition particle RNA
GCCAUAGGUGGCACGUUCUGUAGUCUCAGCUGCAUGGGAAGCUGAAGCAGGAGGAUCACUUAAUCCCAGAAGUUCUGGGCUGUAGUGCACUAUGCCGAUUGGGUGUCUGAACUAAGUUUGGCAUCAAUAUGGUGACCUCUCAGGAGCAAGGGACCACCAGAUUGCCUAAGGAAGAAUGAACAGGCCCAGGGCAGAAAUGGAGUAGGUCAAAACUCCUGUGCUGAUCAGUCUGGCAUCAUGUCUGUGAACAGCCAUUGCAUUCCAGCCUGAGCAACAUGGCCAUAUUCUCUCUCU